UACGUAGGGUGCAAGCGUUGUCCGGAAUUAUUGGGCGUAAAGAGCUCGUAGGCGGUCUGUCGCGUCUGCUGUGAAAACUCAGGGCUUAACCCUGAGCUUGCAGUGGGUACGGGCAGACUAGAGUGCGGUAGGGGAGACUGGAAUUCCUGGUGUAGCGAUGAAAUGCGCAGAUAUCAGGAGGAACACCGGUGGGCGAAGGCGGUUCUCUGGGCCUUACCUGACGCUGGAGGAAGCGAAAGCAUGGGGAGCAAACAGG
rnacentral:rRNA from 1 species